rnacentral:rRNA from 1 species
UACGUAAGGACCGAGCGUUGUCCGGAAUCAUUGGGCGUAAAGGGUACGUAGGCGGUUAGAUAAGUUAGAAGUGAAAGGCAAUGGCUCAACUAUAGUAAGCUUUUGAAACUGUUUAACUUGAGAGAUGGAAGGGAAAGCGGAAUUCCUAGUGUAGCGGUGAAAUGCGUAGAUAUUAGGAGGAAUACCGGUGGCGAAGGCGGCUUUCUGGCCUGUAUCUGACGCUGAGGUACGAAAGCGUGGGGAGCAAACAGG